GACGAACGCUGGCGGCGUGCUUAACACAUGCAAGUCGAGCGGAAAGGCCCUGCUUGCAGGGUACUCGAGUGGCGAACGGGUGAGUAACACGUGGGUGAUCUGCCCUGCACUUCGGGAUAAGCCUGGGAAACUGGGUCUAAUACCGGAUAGGAGCCAUUUUUAGUGUGAUGGUUGGAAAGUUUUUUCGGUGUAGGAUGAGCUCGCGGCCUAUCAGCUUGUUGGUGGGGUAAUGGCCUACCAAGGCGGCGACGGGUAGCCGGCCUGAGAGGGUGGACGGCCACAUUGGGACUGAGAUACGGCCCAGACUCCUACGGGAGGCAGCGGUGGGGAAUAUUGCACAAUGGGCGCAAGCCUGAUGCAGCGACGCCGCGUGGGGGAUGACGGCCUUCGGGUUGUAAACUCCUUUCGCUAGGGACGAAGCUUUUUGUGACGGUACCUAGAUAAGAAGCACCGGCUAACUACGUG
rnacentral:rRNA from 1 species